rnacentral:misc_RNA from 1 species
GAUGAAGAACGUAGCGAAAUGCGAUAAGUAAUGUGAAUUGCAGAAUUCCGUGAAUCAUCGAAUCUUUGAACGCAUAUUGCGCCCUCUGGCAUUCUGGCGGGCAUGCCUGUCUGAGCGUCAUUUCAACCCUCAUGCCCCUAGGGCGUGGUGUUGGGGAUCGGCCAAAGCCCGCGAGGGACGGCCGGCCCCUAAAUCUAGUGGCGGACCCGUCGUGGCCUCCUCUGCGAAGUAGUGAUAUUCCGCAUCGGAGAGCGAUGAGCCCCUGCCGUUAAACCCCCAACUUUCCAAGGUUGACCUCAGAUCAGGUAGGAAUACCCGCUGAACUUAAGCAUAUCAAUAAGCGGAGGA